rnacentral:rRNA from 1 species
GAUGAACGCUAGCGGCAGGCUUAACACAUGCAAGUCGAGGGGUAGAGGAAGCUUGCUUCCUUGAGACCGGCGCACGGGUGCGUAACGCGUAUGCAACCUACCUUUUACAGAGGGAUAGCCCAGAGAAAUUUGGAUUAAUACCUCAUGGUAUAUAUCAUUCGCAUGUUUGAUAUAUUAAAGUUCCAACGGUAAAAGAUGGGCAUGCGUCCUAUUAGCUAGAUGGUAAGGUAACGGCUUACCAUGGCAACGAUAGGUAGGGGUCCUGAGAGGGAGAUCCCCCAACCUGGUACGGAGACACGGACCAGACUCCUACGGGAGGCAGCAGUGAGGAAUAUUGGACAAUGGGCGCAAGCCUGAUCCAGCCAUGCCGCGUGCAGGAAGAAGCAUCUAUGGUGUGUAAACUGCUUUUGUACGGGAAGAAACACUCCUUCGUGAAGGAGCUUGACGGUACCGUAAGAAUAAGGAUCGGCUAACUCCGUGCCAGCAGCCGCCGUAAGAC